AGUGAACGCUGGCGGUAGGCCUAACACAUGCAAGUCGAACGGCAGCACAGUAAGAGCUUGCUCUUACGGGUGGCGAGUGGCGGACGGGUGAGGAAUACAUCGGAAUCUACUUUUUCGUGGGGGAUAACGUGGGGAAACUUACGCUAAUACCGCAUACGACCUACGGGUGAAAGCAGGGGAUCUUCGGACCUUGCGCGAUUGAAUGAGCCGAUGUCGGAUUAGCUAGUUGGCGGGGUAAAGGCCCACCAAGGCGACGAUCCGUAGCUAGUCUGAGAGGAUGAUCAGCCACACUGGAACUGAGACACGGUCCAGACUCCUACGGGAGGCAGCAGUGGGGAAUAUUGGACAAAGGGCGCAAGCCUGAUCCAGCCAUACCGCGUGGGUGAAGAAGGCCUUCGGGUUGUAAAGCCCUUUUGUUGGGAAAGAAAAGCAGCAGGUUAAUACCCCGCUGUUCUGACGGUACCCAAAGAAUAAGCACCGGCUAACUUCGUG
rnacentral:rRNA from 1 species